rnacentral:lncRNA from 1 species
GGUAUCAACCAACCUGAAAGGGACGAAUCUGGCGUUACAGCAAACUGCUUAAUUACCCUCUCAAAAAACUCCUACUGAUUCUCACGCCUAUGUGUGAGACUGCUGACCAAUUGAAAACUUUCAGCAACACAAGGCAAACCAUGACAAGAGUUUUAUAUGUAAACGAGUUAUUGCAAGUAAAAAAGCAAGACUGCAGGAACGAUGAUGUCGUUUGCGCUGAAUGAAUAUGCUGUACUCAUGGCAAAUGUAAGGCCACACGGGGUGGAAGGUUUAUAACGAGUGAUGGCCAUUUUCAACGAGUGAUGGCCACCCCGCCCAUAAACAUCAACGCGUUAUAUCAUCACGGCAGCGGAUUUUCGUUAUUUUUAUCACUCCGUUAUUCUUUUGGUUUGUGAGUGUAAUUGUUGGUUGGGGGGAAAUUGUUGGGUGUGGUGGUGAGUGAUGACCACCCCGCCUAAAAAAGGUUGUGAGUGAUGAAAAAAUGGUUGAUGACAUGACGGAACUUGAUUGGUGCUUGUGAGUGAUGGAUUCUAUCACUAGUGAACCACCCCGUGUCCCCUAAGGGAUUUUUGCAGAAAUAAUGCUUCUUUCAAAAACAAAAUCACAACUAAUGCCAUACUCAGAAUUAUUUCACAAUUAGGGUCAAUGCCAUUCAAAAUGGCGAAAUUUCAUGCACCCUAGGGUUGUGUCAGGAAUAUUUAAAUUGUGCAGGAGACAAAUCAUUUGAAAAGGUACCAUAGCCGUUUAUAAUGGGGAAAUCUGCAUGAUUCUGCACAUUAAGCCAUUCCAAAUGGCGAAAAGUUAAAAGUUCUGCACAUUAUGCCAUUGUUAAUAGCGUUUUUUUAAAAGCCUGCCAACAUGUCCUAUAAAGCUGAAAAGCCUGCACAAUAUGUCGUCGUUAAUGGCGAAUUUUUUAAAAGUCUGCACAAAAAGCCAUUCCAAAUGGCGAGAAGCUUGACCAACCAUCACUUGAAUUGCAGGUGAGCUUAUUUAUUAUAACAUUCCAAUUCAAAUUGUUAUUAUUUCUUUGUCAAGUUCUUUUUCAAAAUAUAUAAUAUCAUUUGAUUGUAAAUGGGACUGGCUUGCUUGCUUGCUUGCUUGCUUGUAAAGGGUAAAGAUUACCCUGUGGCAUUCCCAAAAGAAGAUUAUUAAUGUUCAGAAUGAUGGAUUGGCAUCCGUGAACAAACUUUAACUAACUUUUUCAGGUUAAAGUAAUAAAAGUUGUAUUAUGCAGCUCGUUGAAGACGUUAAUUAUGCCAAAUUAAGCAAAGAAGCGGUUGAGGGGGUAGGAGCUCCAUCGUUUAAGUAUCGAGGAGCUGCACCAGCUGGAGAAGUCCCUUGAAGCUGGAUUGGGUCGGGUUGUUGCAAAAAAGGUCCAUUAUCUCUUACUUCUUUCUUCUGAUCAUUGUAAUUUGUUGUUGUGGCCAUUUUCCAGUUUGAUAAACGCAACGCUUACCCAAAAUUCUUACAAAUAUUCUGACUGGAGUAGUUGGAUAAAACUGCAGUGAUGCAGUGAUCGAAUGAUCAAGCAGACAUAUGGAACUCCUACGUGGCAUGACAAAUUAAAUGCAUAUGUGUCACACCAAGUGGCUUUUGUAGCAACACUUGUGUGAUUUAUAAUGGUGUUUUCUGUAAAUUCCUAAAUGGAUAUCACUACAAAAAGCCACGUAGACUGACACCUGUACAUUCUGUCAUACGUUGCAUUCGCCUGAACUCGAAUUUGCUUGUAAAUUUUGUUUGGUUAUAUUUUUGUCAAAUCAGCGAACUGUU